rnacentral:tRNA from 1 species
GGCGAUAUGGCCGAGCGGUCCAAGGCGCUGGUUUUGGGCACCAGUCCCUUCGGGGGCUUGGGUUCCAAUCCCACUCUUUUCA